UACGGGGGGGGCAAGGGUUGUUCGGAAUUACUGGGCGUAAAGGGCUCGUAGGUGGCCAACUAAGUCAGACGUGAAAUCCCUCGGCUUAACCGGGGAACUGCGUCUGAUACUGGAUGGCUUGAGUUCGGGAGAGGGAUGCGGAAUUCCAGGUGUAGCGGUGAAAUGCGUAGAUAUCUGGAGGAACACCGGUGGCGAAGGCGGCAUCCUGGACCGACACUGACACUGAGGAGCGAAAGCCAGGGGAGCAAACGGG
rnacentral:rRNA from 1 species